rnacentral:rRNA from 1 species
CGGUCCUAAGGUAGCGAAAUUCCUUGUCGGGUAAGUUCCGACCUGCACGAAUGGCAUAAUGAUGGGGGCGCUGUCUCCAGCAGAGACUCAGUGAAAUCGAAUUCGCCGUGAAGAUGCGGUGUACCCGCGGCUAGACGGAAAGACCCCGUGAACCUUUACUGCAGCUUGACAUUGAACUUUGAUCUUACUUGUGUAGGAUAGGUGGGAGGCUUUGAAACCGAGACGCUAGUUUCGGUGGAGCCAAUCUUGAAAUACCACCCUGGUAAUAUUGAGGUUCUAACUCUGUCCCGUUAUCCGGGACGAGGACCAUGUCUGGUGGGUAGUUUGACUGGGGCGGUCUCCUCCUAAAGAGUAACGGAGGAGUACGAAGGUGCGCUCAGCGUGGUCGGAAAUCACGCGUAGAGUAUAAAGGCAAAAGCGCGCUUAACUGCGAGACCCACAAGUCGAGCAGGUACGAAAGUAGGUCUUAGUGAUCCGGUGGUUCUGUAUGGAAGGGCCAUCGCUCAACGGAUAAAAGGUACUCUGGGGAUAACAGGCUGAUACCGCCCAAGAGUUCAUAUCGACGGCGGUGUUUGGCACCUCGAUGUCGGCUCAUCUCAUCCUGGGGCUGAAGCAGGUCCCAAGGGUAUGGCUGUUCGCCAUUUAAAGAGGUACGCGAGCUGGGUUUAGAACGUCGUGAGACAGUUCGGUCCCUAUCUACCGUGGGCGUUGGAAAUUUGAGAGGAUCUGCUCCUAGUACGAGAGGACCAGAGUGGACGAACCUCUGGUGUACCGGUUGUGACGCCAGUCGCAUCGCCGGGUAGCUAUGUUCGGAAGGGAUAACCGCUGAAAGCAUCUAAGCGGGAAGCCUACCUCAAGAUAAGAUUUCCCUAGGACUUUAUGUCCUCUAAAGAGCCGUUGAAGACUACGACGUUGAUAGGUUGGAUGUGGAAGCAUAGUGAUAUGUGAAGCUGACCAAUACUAAUUGCUCGUGAGGCUUGACUAU